GCGCUUUAACAGCGUGACCGGGCCCUUGCUUUUCGGCAGCACUGGGAGGAAGUGACAGCCGCGCGUCACUUCCUCCCACAGAAACAGGAGCCACGCGGGAGGAAGUCGGACCAGCUGUUCUGGAGGGGGCCAGGCCGGGAGAGCUUAACUCCCAGCCACCCCACUGGACCCCAGGGAAGCCACCCUCCAGGAAAAGGUAAGAAACUGGAGGGUGGUUAUCAAAUUUUGCAUGAGUGUCUGUGCGUAUGUCUGUCUGUCAGUGUAUGUCUGUUAGUGUGCCAGUAUGUCGGUCAGUGUAUCUGUAUGUCUGUGUGUAUGUUUUCCAGAAUGUCUGUCAGUGU